AAUUAGCCAAAAUGGUCUAGGUUUAGUUAACAAAUCCCGCACAUUAGUCAGAGAAGAGUGUUUCCAGCAAGCAAAAGAUGAGCAGUCGGCAAGGGCCACCGAAGCACCAAAAUCGCUACGCCUGGAAGCCAAACGCUGGUGUUAAAAUCAACUAAGAAGGAAGUUGGAUGGAAGCAAAGGCCUUACUCUGAAAUAACUGGAGUUUGCCAUCGAUGCAAAGAGCAAAUCGAUUGGAAGCGUCGAUAUGGCAAAUAUAACCCCUUAACAGAGCUUGCAAAAUGGGUGCGCUAAGGAACAAAAAGUAUGUGCUAAGUGUCGAUGUUGUGUUGAUCAAAUAGUUGGGAGGGAUUUCGGCAGAGGUUGUAGAAGAGCAAAAGAUGCUUGAAGAUUUUGGCAAUUAAAAAUGCUCGAGAGAGGGAUGGAAGAACAUUGUUACGUGCUAUGAAUCAAAGUAGCUCUAAAAGUUCAUCAAAAACCACAACCAACAAAGAAAAUGGUAGG